rnacentral:misc_RNA from 1 species
UUUAUUUUAUGGGAUUUCUCCCUGGAAGCUUUUUAAAAAAAAAAAAAUGCAUACCGCCUUUUUUGCUUCAAAAUAAAAUACAAUUGUACUGCCUCUCACUUCAUCUGAUGUUUCAUUUCUCCAUCCAAUAUCCUUACAAUGUCAACACAGUUCAUGACAUUUCAAUACAACUGUUCUCUACGAGCAGAGAUUAACCAAAAUAUUACACAUUCUGAGGGGAAAAAAAAAAAA